GGUGGCUCAGUGGUAGAGUGCUUGCCUUAAAUGCAAGAGGCCUGAGGUUCCAUUCCUCAGCACCA
rnacentral:tRNA from 1 species